rnacentral:rRNA from 1 species
CGGAGUGCCCUCGGGGAACUUGAAAACAGGUGCUGCACGGCUGUCGUCAGUUCGAGUCGUGAGAUGUUGGGUUAAGUCCCGCAACGAGCGCAACCCUCGUCCUUAGUUGCCAGCAGGUUAAGCUGGGCACUCUAAGGAGACUGCCUUCGUAAGGAGGAGGAAGGUGAGGACGACCUCAAGUCAUCAUGGCCCUUAUGGCUAGGGCUACACACGUGCUACAAUGGGGCGUACAGAGAGUUGCGAUACCGCGAGGUGAAGCCAAUCUCAUAAAGCGCCUCUCAGUUCGGAUUGUUCUCUGCAACUCGAGAGCAUGAAGCUGGAAUCACUAGUAAUCGUAGAUCAGCUAUGCUACGGUGAAUACGUUCCCGGGUCUUG